rnacentral:rRNA from 1 species
UACAGAGGGGGCUAGCGUUGUUCGGAAUUACUGGGCGUAAAGCGCGCGCAGGCGGUCCUUCAAGUCAGAGGUGAAAGCCCAGAGCUCAACUCUGGAACGGCCUUUGAGACUAGAGGACUUGGGUACGGGAGAGGUGAGUGGAAUUCCGAGUGUAGAGGUGAAAUUCGUAGAUAUUCGGAAGAACACCAGUGGCGAAGGCGGCUCACUGGCCCGUUACCGACGCUCAGGCGCGACAGCGUGGGGAGCAAACAGG